UGUAGGAAGCCGGUUCCUGCAUUAUAAUGCUGCCUGAAGACACCAAGAAGGAUCCGAGUGUCCUGCGUGUAUUUCUUGCUGGCGAGGAAUACAGAGAGCGCGCGGGACAUAUGGUGCUGAAACCCGGGAAGCUUAACAUCUCCAACACCUCAGAGACCCCUCUAACGAGGCGGAUUCAGAACUGCAGGGUGGUAAAUUCGGAGAGGUAUGA